CCUGUUGAAACAAGGUUCCUAUAGUUCUAUUGUUGUUGAAUGGACCAACAUGAGGUAUAGAAUCAACAUCCUGUUGAAACAAGGCUCCUAUAGUUCUAUUGUUGUUGAAUGGACCAACAUGAGGUAUAGAAUCAACAUCCUGUUGAAACAAGGUUCCUAUAGUUCUAUUGUUGUUGAAUGGACCAACAUGAGGUAUAGAAUCAACAUCCUGUUGAAACAAGGCUCCUAUAGUUCUAUUGUUGUUGAAUGGACCAACAUGAGGUAUAGAAUCAACAUCCUGUUGAAACAAGGUUCCUAUAGUUCUAUUGUUGUUGAAUGGACCAACAUGAGGUAUAGAAUCAACAUCCUGUUGAAACAAGGUUCCUAUAGAUCUAUUGUUGUUGAAUGGACCAAAAUGACAUAGUUCUAAGGAAUUCUGAUCACUAAGUAAAAAGAAAAAUUGACUAAGACUAAGUAUUUACAAAUUGGCUCACCAAUAGGAUAUGAUUUCAGAACCAAUAUUCUAAAAACCAAUAUUUUUAUACAAUAUGUCCCAAUUAUUCCAUAUACAAUAUCUGUGUGGAGAAAAAUUGUGUUUAUAAAUUAAGGACCAUGACAAGAAAACGUUCUGCUUUUCAUCGACCGGUUUCACUGGAACUUUGCCAAUAUAUACCAACAUGAAGUUAAGGCCACCAAAAGUAGAAGACCAUGAGGAAUAAAGUUCCCCAUAGAAGUGAGUCUUCAUAGGAAUUGUUUUAUCCAAUUGAUGUUAAACUUAUUAUUUAGAAGGCCAGAAAAUUCAGCCCGCCAUACUCAUAAGUGUUCACAGUUUCCUCAUGUUAUUGGUACGGUUUCUCCACAGAAAGUUGAAAAUCAUCUGAUUGAUCUUCGCUUAUUGUACAGGCAAGAUAUAAAGAUAUGCUGCCCUAUGUUAGUCCAG